rnacentral:lncRNA from 1 species
AGGCAUUAUAAGAAUCACAUUGCCAUUGCACAAAGCUGGGAACUUGAAUCACAGUGUUGCAUUUUCCUUUGUACAGAGCCUUUGGAUUUAGUGCUGGAAAAAGAAGUACUACAUCAAGUGGGAAAAAGGCUUCCAGGAGAACACUACCUGCAUUUUCUAAUUCCUGUUACAUCGUUCCACACAGUUUUCAUAACAUAUGUAAGUACUUACAAAUUUUUAUCUUGGAAAAUUAUCAAACAUGUUUUAUUUACCAGGAUGCAUUUCAUUUCACAACAAAGUUUGGAAGGGGCAGAAGAGCUACUUUCCUUGGGACUGUUGAACCUUACUGAAUUCUUCAGACUGACAAUGAAGUGACCCUCCAAGGUUUCAGGUGCAGGCCUUGCUACCGGUCUGUCUUCCCCCUCCCCUGAAGUCUUGCUUCCUGAAAUCUUGUAGAUGGAUAUGACUAGCACUGACCUCAGUACCUUAUAUAUGCAAAACAUAUGCUCUGAAUCUACUCUGGAGUGAUGUGCUCUUUCAGUAGCCUGACUGAUUUUUCCAGCUGAACCUAGCAGUAACUGCAGUGAAGUGAAAACCCUUUUUCACCUCCGGUGAUGUCUGAGCAGCACUUUCAAAACAGUUUCCUUCUGGGAAUGAGAAACCCUCUUUCCCUGAGGGUGGAAUAAGGAAGCUGUUGGGGUGUGUAUACACAGUUGGCUAGCCUAGGGCAGGAAGGAGAGAGCUCAGAAAUGCAUAUUCAGGCUGCAGCAGACUGAACAAUUGUUGAGGGAGAGCAAGAGUCCAUUCCAGAUGCAUUAUUUUGUGCACAGUGACAUUCAACAGUUCUGCAUUAAUCUAAUAAGGCCAUGGUCUGUGAGCAGGCACUGUGCUUAUGCUUUGCUGGCUUAGCUUUCAGUGAUUCCCACACCCCCUGGAAAAGAAGGAUACCGGAGAUCUAAUUAGAAGUGGGAGCCUGAGCUGCACAACAAGACUUCAAACUCUUCUGGCAUUUAAUGGAAUUUUCCGUGCUGCUAGAAUAGCAGUUCUCCCCUGUCAUUUUGACAUGAAAAAAUAUUAGUGAAUAUUUGAUUUUACUGUGGAACAAAUUAAGGUAAUAAUAAGCCUUUGAAAGAGGAAGAAAUGUAUACCAGCUGGUUCAAUCUCAUUUAAAAUGUGCAUGUUCAAAUAGCCUUGUAUAUGGGAAGCAUCCCCUCCACUUAAUCAACAGAUAGUUAUUUUAUAAGAGGAAGGCUCUGUCAGGGUAAUGUGUGACACUUCUUAACUCCUGUUUAGCUAACCCAAUUUACAUUGGAGAUUCCAACAUGCAGUGUGCCUAUAUGUAAGGCCAGAAUUAUGUAACAUGUUCAAAAUCCAUACUGUGAUAUUACCUUUAUUUGGUCAACCCCAAAAGGCACCAAUGAUAAUAAUAGUAAUUGCAGCUUAGGCUGACAAACCAAUAGCUUUCUGCUUUGGCAGCAACAGAUACCAUCUGCCUGAUACCCUUUGCUUUGUAUUCCUGCCUUGAGCAGGGGGUUGGACUCAAUGGCCUUAUAGGCCCCUUCCAACUUCUUUAUUCUAUGAUCCCACCUUUUUCAUGACAAUGGCAUUCAAUUUGGCUUAGCAUCUUUUCUCUACAUGACUCUGCAAUCCAGCUGUAAAUCCUUUAAUACAAAGAAAGAAAAAUAAAAAGGGAAAUGGGAAUUGUAUCUUGUAAAAG